rnacentral:rRNA from 1 species
CGCGUAGGCGGACAGUUUAGUCGGGGGUGAAAGCCCGGGGCUCAACCUCGGAAUUGCCUUCGAUACUGGCUGUCUUGAGUGCGGGAGAGGUGUGUGGAACUCCGAGUGUAGAGGUGAAAUUCGUAGAUAUUCGGAAGAACACCAGUGGCGAAGGCGACACACUGGCCCGUUACUGACGCUGAGGCGCGAAAGCGUGGGGAGCAAACAGGAUUAGAUACCCUGGUAGUCCACGCUGUAAACGAUGAGUGCUAGUUGUCGGGCGGCAUGCCGUUCGGUGACGCAGCUAACGCAUUAAGCACUCCGCCUGGGGAGUACGGUCGCAAGAUUAAA